rnacentral:lncRNA from 1 species
AAUGGCACAGUGUGACUUUGCUCCAUCCUGCCUUGAUUUUCCUACUCCACCAUCAUCAACAAAGUUGUUAUUGAAUUUUGAGAAGCAUUCUGAAAACUUCAGACUCACAGACAGCUGGAUUGCCAGUAGUAGGAUAUCUUCAGUAACAGCCAGGUAAGAACGGAAGUCAUUCAAGUGUUUACAAAGAUUUAGUCUCUAAAUCUGCUGCUCUACCUACAAAACCUACGCAAUGGAAAAGCCCAGCUAAAGAGAAUAAACUUGGGACUUCUUUUCCUCAUGAGUCUACAUAUGGUAUUGGCAACUUUAAUGCUUUUAAAUCAACUACCAAGAAUUUUAGUCCAUCAACAAAUUCAGUGAAAGAGGGUCAUCACUCAAACUCCUCUUUGCCUGUUGACAAACUUAAUCAGCAGCCUUGUCUAACCAAACUGACACAGUGGUAAGAAGAGUGCAUUUUUGAAAGCACUGAAAAGGGACAGAGUAGAAAAAGAACAUAAAGAUGAAAGGCAUUACUGGCUCACAGACAGAUGAUGUCUCAUUUAAUUUACAUAACAGCAAUAGUACUCACUGAUAUGAACCAAAACUUUGAGGAAAAUAAAAUUCCACAGGAGGAUGACAGUGCCCCACUUUGUGCACUCCCCCAACCCCCAGAAUA